GACGAACGCUGGCGGCGUGCUUAACACAUGCAAGUCGAACGGAAAGGCCCUGCUUUUGUGGGGUGCUCGAGUGGCGAACGGGUGAGUAACACGUGAGUAACCUGCCCUUGACUUUGGGAUAACUUCAGGAAACUGGGGCUAAUACCGGAUAAGAGCUCCUGCUGCAUGGUGGGGGUUGGAAAGUUUCGGCGGUUGGGGAUGGACUCGCGGCUUAUCAGCUUGUUGGUGGGGUAGUGGCUUACCAAGGCUUUGACGGGUAGCCGGCCUGAGAGGGUGAUCGGCCACACUGGAACUGAGACACGGUACAGGAUGCUAAGGGAGGCAGCAGGAGGGAAUCUUCCGCAAUGGGGGAAAGCCUGACGGAGCAACGCCGCGUGAGUGAUGAAGGUCUUCGGAUCGUAAAAGUCUGUGAUUAGGGAAGAACAAAUGUGUAAGUAACUAUGCACGUCUUGACGGUACCUAAUCAGAAAGCCACGGCUAACUACGUG
rnacentral:rRNA from 1 species